rnacentral:rRNA from 1 species
AAUCUUACCGGGUCCGGACAUAUCGAGGAUUGACAGACAGUUACCAUGCCCUUUCGAAAGGAGUCAGGUUUUAAACCUAAUGGCUCUUUCAUGAUUAUAUGAUAGGUGGUGCAUGGCCGUUCUUAGUUCGUGGAGUGAUCUGUCUGCUUAAUUGCGUUUCAAAUUUUUAUUUGAGGACCAGGUUUUGGUUUGGGUAGUGGUCCUACGAUGACUGUGAACUGUCAUGUCUUCGGAUGUGCGACUAUCGGUCUAGGAUCGCAUCUCAGCCCCUGGGACUCUUUUGAACGCAACG